CCUACGGGAGGCAGCAGUGAGGAAUAUUGGUCAAUGGGCGCGAGCCUGAACCAGCCAAGUAGCGUGAAUGAUGACUGCCCUACGGGUUGUAAACUUCUUUUAUAAAGGAAUAAAGUGAGGCACGUGUGCCUUUUUGUAUGUACUUUAUGAAUAAGGAUCGGCGAACCCCGUGCCAUCAGCCGCGGUAAUACGGAGGAUCCGAGCGUUAUCCGGAUUUAUUGGGUUUAAGGGGAGCGUAGAUGGGUUGUUAAGUCAGUUGUGAAAGUUUGCGGCUCAACCGUAAAAUUGCAAUUGAUACUGGGAGUCUUGAGUACAGUAGAGGUAGGCAGAAUUCGUGGUGUAGCGGUGAAAUGCUUAGAUAUGACGAAGAACUCCGAUUGCGAAGGCAGCUUACUAAACUGACACUGACAUUGAUGCUCGAAAGUGUGGGUAUCAAACAGGAUUAGAUACCCCAGUAGUC
rnacentral:rRNA from 1 species